rnacentral:rRNA from 1 species
CCUACGGGAGGCAGCAGUGAGGAAUAUUGGUCAAUGGACGAGAGUCUGAACCAGCCAAGUAGCGUGAAGGAUGACUGCCCUAUGGGUUGUAAACUUCUUUUAUAUGGGAAUAAACUGUUCCACGUGUGGGAUUUUGUAUGUACCAUAUGAAUAAGGAUCGGCUAACUCCGUGCCAGCAGCCGCGGUAAUACGGAGGAUCCGAGCGUUAUCCGGAUUUAUUGGGUUUAAAGGGAGCGUAGGUGGAUUGUUAAGUCAGUUGUGAAAGUUUGCGGCUCAACCGUAAAAUUGCAGUUGAAACUGGCAGUCGUGAGUACAGUAGAGGUGGGCGGAAUUCGUGGUGUAGCGGUGAAAUGCUUAGAUAUCACGAAGAACUCCGAUUGCGAAGGCAGCUCACUGGACUGCAACUGACACUGAGGCUCGAAAGUGUGGGUAUCAAACAGGAUUAGAUACCCCAGUAGUC